GGUGCUCGCAUCGCCGUCAACUCUCCCUGCGCCCGUCCCCGCCGCGCGGCAGGCUGACGCCUGAGGGGCGUGCCGGCAUGGUGAGGCCAGCAGCUGAAGCGCUGCGGCGCCCGUGGAGAGCAGCGGCGCUACGUCGUACCUGCCACGGCCGUGCACUGGCCGCAGGGAAGAGCACCGGCAAUAGAUUCAUCAAGGGCACGCUCCAGCCGCUGCCGUCUCAUGGCCUUUGUUCUCUACGACCCUUGGGUGAGCGAGCAGACAACAAGGGCCAGGCCACUGCCACUGCUAGUGGGGAUACGCCACUGUUCGAGAUGCCGGGAGGCGCGUAGCCAUUCAGGGUCACGGAGGAGAUGGAUGAGCCCUCUACAUACGGCAUGAUACUCAUGCUGGAUGGAGAUUCAGGUUACUGGGAGGGAUGAGUGUGCAUUUUUAAGAUAAAUGGUACCAAGCAUUAGAUGAUUUCCCACCAGAUGUUUCUUAAAGUGGAGGCGGUGGUAUCCUGUAUUAGGUUUCAUAACAUUCUGUUUCCGAACAAAUUGCCAUUUCUGAAAUUGACAAGAUGGUGGUGGGUGUAAGACACCGCUCUCUCUCUCUCCUCACUAAGACACCUCUCUCUAUAUAUUUUUCUCUAUGUAAUAACUAUUCCAUUUCAUCAGUUCUGCCUCACAGACUUUUAGAUGUUUGAUGCAUCAAAGGGCACCUACUUUUAGAAUGGUAUCCGAGGGAAUUGGACUGCUGUAUCUUUGCAAAGAAAAUUUACUAAUGAGUUAACAAUUUCUUUCGGCUAGAAAAAAAGAAUUGCGAUUUCAUGGCCUGAGAAAACAGAGUGAUGUGUUUAAGUGAUCUUACGUCGCUGCCAUGUAGCUGCAGCUCAUAAUGCUAGACAAUGAGGCUCCUGCUAUUUGACUUAUCAUACAUUCUCUAAUUGUGGCUGCAAUAGGUUGGGGAGCCUGUUGAGUCUUUGUCUGUGUAUAAAUUCUUUUUUGAAUGAUAAAUUUAUAAAUUUAUAUAUUAUAGAUACCCUAAACCCUAACAGCAAAUUCUUAUUGCUUGAUGACACAAGUUGACACCAGUACUUUUGGGAUUCAUAACAGCAAAAACUUUUAUUAGUUUGGUAUAUAUGACAAGCUAACGAAUACACAAAGCCGAUGUCCUUCUAUGUGUUUCCUGACAAUGUCUCAUAAAAAAUGACUCCUCGCUUUUAUUUCAGAUAGGCCUCAUUCAGGAUAUGGUGGUACCACUAAUGGUCAAGACAACACUGAAAGGCAAUCUGUAAACAUUUAAUUGGUUGAUGGCUUAUGAUUGAGCUGAUCAUGGGUAAAUAGAGAUGCUGGGUUCUUCCCAUGUAUGCAUCCUGAGGCUGGUGGUUGGGCGGCGAGGAUUAUGGAUGCAAUGCCUUGGGAGAUGUGGCUGUACGGGAUUUGGCCUUGGUCUCGUUAUUUCAGGAGCAAUCCGUGUCCAUGAGGACAUGCUUCUUGCUGCCUGUUGUUGACAAAUAUGCCAAUUCAAAGCCUUGAAAUCCGAACAUUAAUUCAAUCAGGUGAGUUGAGUAAAUUUUAGGUUGUUCAUGGCAUGAGUACUUGUACCAGUUUUGAACAUAUUUGUGCUACCUCCUGGCCAUGGUGAUAUCUUUCCAUCGCUGACGAACAACAGAGAGCUUUAUUUAUUACUCUCAUAGGUGAUAGACUCACAUGUUACCCCCUUGGGAUGACAACAUCUACUCAGUGGCGGAGGACGGAAUAAAAGUUAGGUUGGAGUCCAAUGAAAUUUAUUUUGUGGGGUUCAUUGUUCCCAAACAGAGUUUCCAAUGGAAAGUUAGUUUCAAUUGUUACACUCAGAUAAAGUCAAGAUGAAAGUCCUAAGUCCUGGAGAGUAACAAGACACUCAUAGGAGAUUACAUGCCUUUGAGGUGUACCAUUCUCAUGUUCAGAAAGAACGGCAGUUUGUGCGGCUUCCUUUCUUGUCAGGCUUAGCUCGGCGACGAUGACACGUCACUCUAUUUUGUGUGUUUGUCGCUGUGGUGUUGGUGGGUGUUUCGGGCUAUCCCUGGGCUGUACUUAGAAAGUGUGCACACUGCUAUAUAUGGUUAGAAGUUUCUGUAGAGUACUCGAUGUGAUUUAUAAGUGCCCAUAGUGUUACUGCUUUUAUGUGUCAAGUUAUCUUCUCUUCAUUUAUGCACCCAAGCCUGAUUCCAUUUCGUGAAGGCAAAAGAGGGCUAUCAUCACAGCAAUGCUAUGCUUUGGAGUGUAGAUUUUGUAAGCCUGAUUCCAUUUGGUGAAGGCAAAAGAGGGCUAUCAUCGCAGCAAUGCUAUGCUUUGUAGUGUA